UACGUAGGGCGCGAGCGUUGUCCGGAAUUAUUGGGCGUAAAGAGCUUGUAGGCGGUUUGUCGCGUCUGCUGUGAAAGGCCGGGGCUUAACUCCGUGUAUUGCAGUGGGUACGGGCAGACUAGAGUGCAGUAGGGGAGACUGGAAUUCCUGGUGUAGCGGUGGAAUGCGCAGAUAUCAGGAGGAACACCGAUGGCGAAGGCAGGUCUCUGGGCUGUAACUGACGCUGAGAAGCGAAAGCAUGGGGAGCGAACAGG
rnacentral:rRNA from 2 species